GCCACACAAUCAAUUUAUUUUUAAAUUUCGCUUAAUUAAUGCAAAUAUAAGGCGAAACGAGAAAAGCCGGGCGAAUAACUUCGUUAGCGUUUGGAGCGGCAAGAAUUUCAAAAUCUACACAAAGGCAAAGCAUCUGAAUUUUACAACAGAACCCUGCCAAAAUUAUACCUCGAAAGUGGUCUAAUUAAAUGAAUCUUACGAGCCGACAGCACCUCACAUUCAUAAGGCCAACUGAGUGUCGUUCAAAUUCAGUUUUGUUAAUUUCAUUAUUCACUCUGCGAAGUCAUUCAACUCGCUGGCUGUUGGUUUAUGUUAGUUUGCUUAUAUAAUCACAUGAAGUGCGUUAAUUUGACAUAAUUAGUGGGCUUCGGCACGAGACGAAGUCAAAACCCCAAGCCCAACAGUCUAAAGGUCUUCGAGUUGAAGAGUAAGCCCCUUUGUCUGACUCCGCUCUUCUAUUUUUCUAGUUUUUAGGUCAAUGGUCUUCGCAGCGGCGAUGUUUGUUGCCAUGUUUGCUGCCAUUUGAUGGCUUGCCAAUUUAACACCUGACAGCUUCGUUUGGGCCAUGUGCACUGGACCAAGCCGUGUGCCAUAAGCGAGCGCAGAUGCCAACGCCCCGGUCCCAAUUCCCCUCGACCACGCCCACAACGGACUCGUGUUACGAGAGCAAUACAUCGGUGUGCACUGUAAGCAAAAGCGUUGUAGUACUGCAGACAUUCGCGUAAAAAGAGAGCUGUUUAAAAUAUAAGGUAGGGGUGAUAUCCUUGAUAUCAAAUGUCAAAACCAUUACAGUAUAAUUCGUAAUAGUUUUUUUUUUAGAUUUCUUGCCAAGUUUUUCUCACUGUGCAGCACCCCAAUCUGGUAGCCAGGCAGUCGGGUUGUCACCAGCCAAACAGCCAACUACUAUGGCCAACCGGCCACGAAAGACCCAGACACGUCUGGCCAUUUAGCAGAGUUAUGCGAUACAUUUUUGCGAAUUUAUUUCUAGUCGGUUGAGGAAAUUUUCCAAAGUUAAACUCUAGAUUUGAUUACGAAAGAGCGGGUGCAGUGGGUGUUUAGAGUUGAUAUGCAAAUGGCUUCGGCAACUUUUUGGUGACAUAGGUAAAAUGUCAAAAUUUCAAUUUGCUGAAAGAGAUUUUAAUCAGAGAUUGUCAAAAUUUUGAUGAACUUUGCGAGCACUUCGUUUAGUUAUGCAAAGACUAUUGAUAGAACGCAAACUUUGCUAAAAUGCAUUCUUUCCACUUCUGAAGAUAAAAAUAUCUAUGCAAGUGAAAUUCCAUUAAAAUGAUUUGGCCAAAUAUCAAUGCAAACGUGAAAUUCUGCAUUAAUAUUUGAUCGCAAAAGAUAAAAGCAAUUGCAAAUUUUAUACCAAACAUUGUAAUUGAAGUGCUUCUUUCACUCAAAACUUUAUUUAUUUGACCCACCCAAAUAUUUUCGCUUAUGCAUCAAAUUUUUGUCAAGAACGCGAGAAGUCGAAUAACAUUUCAGACACUGACCUACUUUAAGGUAAAUAUCAAAGUGGGGGACUGGAGAAAAAUGAAACUAUUUGGGGCCAAUUACCAGCGCUGUGGACAGAGAAAAGAAACUUUGUAAUACAUACAUAUAUUUUUACUUAAUUGAGUAGGUUACCCCGCCCUCGGUCAUCCCACUCCAGUUCUUUAUUAAUUUUUUUCCAUUUUAAUUAUUCAGUUUCUGCCUCGUCUUUUUGUGAAAAGUGAAAUGCUCCGAACCAGAAUUUGUUCAAUGUCUCUGGCUUUUUGGUUUAUUAUUGCCCAUUGCUCCAGUUAAGCUGCAAGACGGGUAAUGUACUAUGUCUGUAUCUAGAUGUAUCUGUAGAUGUAUCUGUAGAAGUAUCUGUAUCUGUGGCUGUCUGCUUGAAUUACAGAGCUUGAACGAGGUUGACACACUUACAUUUAUUUAGCUCAUAAUGAGCUGGCAAAUGAUUUGCCUUUGUCUGAAUGCCUGCUGCUCGCUGGUUUAUUGUUACUGCUUUUUUCACUUUUCAUCAAUAAAAUAAACUGAUGAAAUGCUUUAAACUGCCUCUGUUUGCCCAGCAUAAUGAGGCGUUUCGACAAAGAUAAACAAAAGAAGAAAGAUGCUGCAAAGUCAAAUCAAAGUUGUAGGAAAAUACAAAAGUUUGGAAUAAUAAUGAAAGUCAAGUUAUAUAACCUAUGCAUAUAAAUAAGUUGACAAGAACGUCCGACUUCUGUUGGUUUUUAUGCAAGUUUUUCAUGGAGCUGAGCCAGAACCUCUGAAUUCUGUUUAUGCUGAAGUUGUGCAUACAUAUACAUAUUUGAUGGUUUAAGUUAACUAGAUUACUAUGCUUCCGGCUGGUGAAUGAAAACAAAUACAUAACUUAUUACUUUAAAUAUACAUAUAAUACGAUAAGCUAAUGGGCUGUAAUAUACAAAUAUUCCAUUCCAGCUUUAAAUAAAAUAAUGCCACUUCAUGUGUGCUAUUUAAGAGACAGUCCCUAUGUAUUUUCAUUAAUCUGGACUUUUUUGUUUUCAAUUGAGAGUGCAUAAGCCAUUGUUAUUACACAUUGAGAUUACACAUACGCCAUGUGUGCUGUGUGGAGCGGCAAUUUCCUGCCUUCGAGAGACAAAACAUAACCGAGUGGAGCAUAACCAACGCCCGCUGUCACUUCAAUUCAUAACAGAUGCAAAUAAAUUUCCAUUAAAGUUUGUGCCUCUCCGCACAUUACCCUUUUCGGCGCCCAUUUUCUGCGUGGGCGUAUAACAGGCUAAACAGAUGCUAAGUUCGGAAAUAAAGCAGAGAUUCAUGGGGCAUUAAGGUAUGAAGGCAUGAAGGUGCCCCCCAGAUUUAGAUAAUGACCAUUUCCAGUCACGAGGCGCAAAUUGCGGACUUAAACAAGCAGCAGCAGCAGCUCAACUCUCACACAUUACUUUUCAUAUGUUUAAAUGAAAUAAGUAUCUGGCGGAUACAUAUUUGCAGUGACAGUUGCAUCCACACACGCGAGCUCAAGUGCGAAAAGCCGAGGAUCGUGUUUGUGGCACUGGGAUCUUUGCUGAUUACUUAACUUAUUCAACUUUCUUUUGGGAACCCCAAGGGGCCAAGUUCAAUGUGCUUAGCUUGCGGCUAAUACGCCUCUCCUCUCCUUUCGGCCAAGCUCAACUUUCACAUUCACAUUUACAACCUUUGGCACUUCCUCCACCUCCUGCCACAUGGAAAGAUAAUUUUCCCUGUAACUUUGUGUUGGCCAAACCGAUUCACAUUUGGCCAUUUGGCAAUAUGCUGGCUGCAGUGCAAUCAAUGCUUCUCAUUCGAUAUUUAGCAAGCUCACUCAAAUCAUUCGACUGUGGGGCAAGUUUUUCAUUUCAUUUCUAUUCGCUUCAGCUCGGUUCGCUUCAUUUUCAGACUGGCGAAAAAGUGUAGAUACACAUGCUACUCCCAACGCAUGGGAGUGCAAAAAAAAAAAAAGAAGAAAAUGUAGAAAAAAAUGUUUGCCACCGCCUAUGCAACUAUGAAAUAUCGCAUCGCUCGGCGAGAGUGCGGCUGUACGCGCAUAUAUAUCCCACCCAGAGCUGGAAUAAAUUUAUGUGGGAAGUUUUUGAUGACGUUCGUAAUUUUAGAGCCUCCCCCCCAACAGACUAUGCAACUUAUCUAAUAACGGAGACAGACUUACUACUUCCUGUAAGCCUGCCGGGAAUGUGAAAACGCAGAGGGAGCCAGCGAAAAAAGGGCUGCAUUUAUGCCUGCUGAUAUAAUCUGCACCUAAGAUUUAUGCUUCGGAUUGAAUAUUCUGUAUAUUUGCAGCGAGAUAAGGUAAUAAGUUCGGGAAUUUCUCAUAUUUAAACAGGAGAAGAUUCAACGAGAAUAUAAUGCAUUCUUUCGUCACGAAAUGGAAAUAACAUCAAAACUGAUAAAAACUGAUUUGACUUUGUUAUGAAUGGAGAACCUUUAAAUUAAAUGCACAAAUUAAACUUUAGAGUUCUCUAAAUAAAGCAACAUUCGUGCCUUAAAACAAACUUAUGCAAUCGCUUUGACUAGUGCAAAUUGAAGGCAAAUAAAACGAAGCCAAAUAAGCAAACUAAACCUCUACUCUAGACUCCAAAAUAAAACACCCAGCAAACUGGCUUAGACACCUGCUGUGCUCCUAUAUCCCAAAACUUGUCCGUUUCUGCGUAAUAGGCCAAUUGCAUCAGUUAUAAAAAAUCCAAAAGUAAAGCCAACAACCAAAGUAAACCUUUUCCUACUUCUGCUUUGGGCCAAGCAUGCGCAUUUGGCCAAGAGGGUGGGCUAAGAUUGGUUAAACAAUUGCGAACGCGCAUUUUGGCGUAAAUUGUUUUGCAUAUGCGAGGCAAAAGAAAAGUCCAAAAUUCAGCCAGAGGCGUGUCAUCACAAAAACUAAAAACAAAAGCCGAAAAAUUAAUAUGCAUUGUUGCAGCAGCACGUCGCCCUGCAUAUUUGGACUUUCACUUUUGUUUUCUUUUCAAAAACUGAAGAAAAUAAACGUCCAACGUAAAAAGUAAACAAGAUUUCAAAAUGAACUUAAGACGCACACUCGAUCCACGUCGACAUAUCAAUCAAUUACAAAUGGUUAACACAAAUGAAAACAUUAUGUAUCUUUUUAUUGGGUUUGAGUUCCGAGUUCGGUGGGCGAGCAGCGAUUAAAGUGGGUAACUGCGUUAAUUGCUGAUACCCCUUACUUUCCCUUAUUUACUAGCCACCUCAAUUAAGUCCAGAAAUCACAGUUACGCAUUUCCAAUUGCGCAAUCGUCACAAUCUUUUUCAUAUAUUUUUUUUUUUAUGCUGCCUGUCUGUAGAUUUUCAUGGCUUGCGAAAGUAAACAUUUUUACAAUCCGCUUUAUUUUUUAUUUUUGGCUUCCCGAACAAUGCGUGCAGUUAUUACUAGUUUUGGUUCAUUAAUCAUGUGUCGGGGAAACACUUAUGUGUGUGCACCUGCUGGGCAUAAAAAAAUGAGAAAAUGGGACACACAGAUACCAAUGGGAAAAUUGCCAAGGGCUUCCUUGGGUUGAUUAUGAAUUGACCACAUGAUUAAAGGGCAAAUUUAUCAUGACAUAAGAAGAUUUUCUCUUCGUGUUUACCUAUGAAAAUGGAGCUUAGAUCUGAUGGCAUAAUGGUUAGAAGUCGAUUUACUUUCACAAAAUCAAUCAGUUCGUUUUAAGUAAGUUAUAUUACAUGGUUUCAUUAAUGAUGCUGCAUUGCUAUGAAACUCUACAAAAUCUGACCUCCAUAGUUAAUUCCUACUAUAAGCCUAUUUUAACUGUAUAACUGGAUUAGUUUUCCCCCCUUUUUGUGUUCGGCUCCAAUUGGCUGGCUUAAAGUUUUUAAUUAACUUAAAUCAAUGACAGUUUACAUUUGCGAAAUGGCCAGCUAGGGACUUCAGUUGGUUUCCGAUUGAGACUGUUGCAUUGUUGCAUUGAGACAAUGACAAAGUAACCAGCAACCAAUCGAUCGAUCGGAGUGGAAAGCCGCAGAUGUGGCCAGGGCGAUUAAGUAUCCCAGGCCCAAGGCGGAUGGUCGGUCAACCAGAUGGACAGCUGGAUAGCUGGACAGCUGGACAAUUGCAGCAAAUCACAGUGGGACAGGCACUCGAAAUAUGUGUACUGUUUGCCCGCCGAGUUUCCGCUGAAAGUGCAGGCAAUUUCCACCAAAGAGGCGGAGAUCUAAUGCUGGAAUGAAGUGUUGCCGGGUGAAGAAUUGCUGGCUUGGAUUUUAAUUGCCACUGACCACCGACUAGAAGCAAUGAACUUGCCACCACCACCACCAGGCGGACGUAAUUCGAGCCACAAACAGAAAGCCCCUGAAAUACAAGAUGCUUGUGGGAAAUUCCAAUCCACCGGACCAGCGAAGAACACCACUUGAGGGUGGUGGAUGUGUGUGAAAGUCCAAGGCGGCGAAUUGUGUGUGGAUCAAGUUCGAAUUACCAUAAAAUAUGCAGAGACAACGCAUGCGCAACACGUACACGUAACCCGAUGCAGAUACAUUUUAGUGAACUUGCAGAUACAAAUACAGAUUCAGAUACAGAUACAGAUACUGUCCAGUUCGGCCCUGCUCAGGGUGGCUCGUUCACCUUGGAACGGCGCUCAAAAAAGUCGUUUAAUAUCGAGUUUUGUUGGCUAAAUAAGUCCAAGGGUCGCUGCUCUAUAUUGCGAAGGGGUAAACUCAUACAUACAUAUACAUAUGAAAGGGCUAAAUCCAGUGGCCUUUGGCCAAUUUCAUGCUCGCUGAGGCGUCGUUUCGACAACAUACUGUUUUGUACACUGCUCUUGUUCCACUAAUUGAGUUAUGUUGCACAUUUUGGCAAGCCAGCUUCAUGGUUCUCCGACUGCUGCGGAUAUUUGCCAAUUGAGUUAUUGCCUUUUUGGUUGUGCAUUAGCGUGCGCUCACCUGCGAUUUCCCAAUGGAAAGUUUGGCCAACUCUUUAGACCAAGUUCUGUGUGCUGUUCGCUGUGCGCUGGCACAUUGGCCAAAAACCGGGUUGGCUUGGCAAAUACUGUUAACGGUUUUCCGAGUGCCGUGAAUCGUUUUGUCACGCCUUCGAUUCGAGGCAGAAGCAAGAAAUCCCUACUUAAAUAUUUAUCCAAGUUUCUGGCACCCAGUUGCAGGUUCAGAUUGCAGCUGCAAUAUAGGAAGCCACUUUGAAGCCGAUCCCCAUUGACAGGUGCCUUACCAAAACCCAAAGUCUUGGGGAUUUUAGUGCAAACAUGGGGGGAAAAUGCUUUUACAUAUCAAAUAUUUUGCAGAAAUGAAAAGAAAAUAUUUUCUCUUUGCUUUUUGUUAAUUGUACAAUGUACGUUAAGCAACUUCUUCAAUAUUAAAAUGAACAAAAAUAAGCUGGUAAAAAUAUUUAUGUCAGUUGUCUAUAUCUCAUUCUUAAAUUAA